GACGAACGCUGGCGGCGUGCCUAACACAUGCAAGUCGAGCGGAGUCGAUCGACGGAAGCCUUCGGGCGGAAGAUGGUUGACUUAGCGGCGGAUGGGUGAGUAACGCGUGGGCAACCUGCCUCGAAGACCGGGAUAACAGCCCGAAAGGGCUGCUAAUACCGGAUGUGGUCAAGGAUCCGCACGGAUUUUGAUUAAAGGGGAAACCCGUUUCGAGAUGGGCCCGCGUCCUAUCAGCUAGUUGGUGAGGUAAAAGCUCACCAAGGCGACGACGGGUAGCCGGCCUGAGAGGGUGACCGGCCACACUGGAACUGAGACACGGUCCAGACUCCUACGGGGGCAGCAGUGGGGAAUCUUCCACAAUGGGCGAAAGCCUGAUGGAGCGACGCCGCGUGAGCGAAGAAGGCCUUCGGGUUGUAAAGCUCUGUCUGGAGGGACGAAGGAAGUGACGGUACCUCCGGAGGAAGCCACGGCUAACUACGUG
rnacentral:rRNA from 1 species